CCUACGGGGUGCAGCAGUGGGGAAUAUUGGACAAUGGGCGAAAGCCUGAUCCAGCCAUGCCGCGUGUGUGAAGAAGGCCUUCGGGUUGUAAAGCACUUUCAGUGGGGAAGAAAGCCUUGGGGCUAAUACCCUCGAGGAAGGACAUCACCCACAGAAGAAGCACCGGCUAACUCCGUGCCAGCAGCCGCGGUAAUACGGAGGGUGCGAGCGUUAAUCGGAAUUACUGGGCGUAAAGCGCGCGUAGGCGGUCUGAUAAGCCGGUUGUGAAAGCCCCGGGCUCAACCUGGGAAUGGCAUCCGGAACUGUCAGGCUAGAGUGCAGGAGAGGAAGGUAGAAUUCCCGGUGUAGCGGUGAAAUGCGUAGAGAUCGGGAGGAAUACCAGUGGCGAAGGCGGCCUUCUGGACUGACACUGACGCUGAGGUGCGAAAGCGUGGGUAGCAAACAGGAUUAGAUACCCCGGUAGUC
rnacentral:rRNA from 1 species